AUAUUAAUUAAAUUCAAUUAAAAAAAAUAUUUUAUUUUAAUACUUGGUCCUUUCGUACUAAAGUAUUAUAAUUUAUUAAAGAUAGAAACCAACCUGGCUUACGCCGGUCUGAACUCAGAUCAUGUAAGAAUUUAAAAGUCGAACAGACUUAACAUUUAAGCGGCUACACCUAAAAAUAUAUCUUAAUCCAACAUCGAGGUCGCAAACUUUUUUAUCGAUAAGAACUCUCCAAAAAAAUUACGCUGUUAUCCCUAAAGUAACUUAAUCUUAUAAUCGUUAUUAACGGAUCAAUUAAUCAUAAAUUAAUGAUUUAUUAAAAUUAAAAGUUCAUUAAAUUUUAAUAUCACCCCAACAAAAUAUAUUAUCAUAUAAAAAUAAAAUUAAUCCAUAAAAUUUAUAUAAAAUAAAAUAUAAAGAUUUAUAGGGUCUUCUCGUCUUUUAAUAAAAUUUUAGCUUUUUAACUAAAAUAUAAAAUUCUAUAAUAAAUUUAUAUGAAACAGCUUAUACCUCG
rnacentral:rRNA from 1 species